rnacentral:lncRNA from 1 species
UAUUGUUAUGAUGGAUGGUGAGGAAAAAAUCCCAAACUUUGUUUGGAGAAAAUGUCAAAGCAUGGAGGAUAAAUUUAAUUUUGAUAUUAUACCCCAAAAUGAAAUGCACAAUUAGUCCCAAAGUUGAUAAUUUCCUUGUUUCGCUGUGACAAGAUUCAACAUAAGCCGUUGCCAGCACAGAUCUCUAAUUGACAUGCACCUUGCUUGGUAUUUCCUGUUGCACAGCAAAAUAGGAUGCACUACUCACUGGAAGUCCCUGGUUUAGAAGAGAAUCACCACUUCCAGCUUUCAGUUCACUGGAGGCCUCCAGCAUUUCCUGUGGUUGGGCCAAAUUUUGGUGAGACACUUGCUCAGCUUACUCUAGUACACAGACUGCCAGGAGGAGUUCGGCUGUGCCUAAAGUUGCUGCUGUUUGGAUCACUGUUUGAAUCCCUGACCACGUACUCUGCCCCACCACCUCGAAGCUGGUCCCCACGGAAGCUCCAUGGCCAUAUCCUGACUGCACAGGGGGAGACAAGACAUCUGUGCACGCCUGGGUUCCCACUGGAAGGACACCCAGAACUGCAACCAGAAAGGGAAGUGUGAUGCCCUCCAGCAGCUCCCCAGGCCUGGAGAGAGGAGGAAAAAGCUAUCCCACAAAGAACGUCUUCCUGACCUAUGUGGAGUCUGGAAUUGUCUACCAUCUUUUAUGAACCACCACAGGAAGUAUUUGCCCAGAAUAACACUUUCUCCUUAAAAUAGAGCUUUGGCUAUCAAAUGGGGAAAAAAUGGUGCAGCUAGAAACAAAGUAAAAAAGUUUCCACUUUGCUGUGUUCCUAAAAUGCAGUCAAAAUGCACCAAGUGAAUAGAAGCCAGAAGACUUAAAGUGACACUGCUGAAAUUCUGAAUCUCCAGUAGCCUCAGAGAGGAGUCAGGCACUGAAAUGGUCUGUCCAGCCAAGGUGACAUGCCUGGGUGUUUUAGGUACUGACAUGCAGAAACUGAGAUGCCAGUGAUGCGUCUGAAGGUGAGAAGAGAUUUUUUUUGGAUCACUCGCCUGAAUUUGCUGCUUACAUCACGCCUAUACUGCAGCUUAAGUGCCUAAGAACUUGCUCCUGGAUUUCACUCAACAUGCUGUUCUCUGAAAUGUAAA